rnacentral:rRNA from 1 species
CAGCAGCCACGGGAAUACGUAGGGUGCAAGCGUUAAUCGGAAUUACUGGGCGUAAAGCGUGCGCAGGCGGUUUUGUAAGACAGAGGUGAAAUCCCCGGGCUCAACCUGGGAACUGCCUUUGUGACUGCAAGGCUAGAGUACGGCAGAGGGGGAUGGAAUUCCGCGUGUAGCAGUGAAAUGCGUAGAUAUGCGGAGGAACACCGAUGGCGAAGGCAAUCCCCUGGGCCUGUACUGACGCUCAUGCACGAAAGCGUGGGGAGCAAACAGGAUUAGAUACCCGUGUAGUCCCUGUCUCUUAUAC